CAAUAGCGUAUAUUAAAGUUGUUGCAGUUAAAAAGCUCGUAGUUGGAUUUCUGGUAGGAGUGACCGUUCCGAACUUGAUUGUUCGUGUAUUGUGUUUUCUCCAGCCAUCCUUGUGGAGAACUUUUCUUGCAUUAAUUUGUAGGGAUUGGAAUCCGCAUCGUUUACUGUGAAAAAAUUAGAGUGUUUAAAGCAGGCAAUCGCUUGAAUACAUUAGCAUGGAAUAAUAAGAUAGGACUUUGGUACUAUUUUGUUGGUUUGCAUACCAAAUUAAUGAUCAACAGGAACAGUUUGAGGAUAUUCGUAUGAACAUGUCAGAGGUGAAAUUCUUGGAUUUUGAUCAGACGAACUACUGCGAAANCANNNAUCAAGGAUGUUUUCAUNAA
rnacentral:rRNA from 1 species